rnacentral:rRNA from 1 species
AACGCUAGCUACAGGCUUAACACAUGCAAGUCGAGGGGAAACGACAUCGAAAGCUUGCUUUUGAUGGGCGUCGACCGGCGCACGGGUGAGUAACGCGUAUCCAACCUGCCCACCACUUGGGGAUAACCUUGCGAAAGUAAGACUAAUACCCAAUGAUAUCUCUAGAAGACAUCUGAAAGAGAUUAAAGAUUUAUCGGUGAUGGAUGGGGAUGCGUCUGAUUAGCUUGUUGGCGGGGUAACGGCCCACCAAGGCGACGAUCAGUAGGGGUUCUGAGAGGAAGGCCCCCCACAUUGGAACUGAGACACGGUCCAAACUCCUACGGGAGGCAGCAGUGAGGAAUAUUGGUCAAUGGGCGAGAGCCUGAACCAGCCAAGUAGCGUGCAGGAUGACGGCCCUAUGGGUUGUAAACUGCUUUUAUAAGGGAAUAAAGUGAGCCUCGUGAGGCUUUUUGCAUGUACCUUAUGAAUAAGGACCGGCUAAUUCCGUGCCAGCAGCCGCGGUAAUACGGAAGGUCCGGGCGUUAUCCGGAUUUAUUGGGUUUAAAGGGAGCGUAGGCCGGAGAUUAAGCGUGUUGUGAAAUGUAGGCGCUCAACGUCUGCACUGCAGCGCGAACUGGUUUCCUUGAGUACGCACAAAGUGGGCGGAAUUCGUGGUGUAGCGGUGAAAUGCUUAGAUAUCACGAAGAACUCCGAUUG